rnacentral:rRNA from 1 species
GAUGAACGCUGGCGGCGUGCCUAAUACAUGCAAGUCGAGCGAACAGACGAGGAGCUUGCUCCUCUGACGUUAGCGGCGGACGGGUGAGUAACACGUGGAUAACCUACCUAUAAGACUGGGAUAACUUCGGGAAACCGGAGCUAAUACCGGAUAAUAUAUUGAACCGCAUGGUUCAAUAGUGAAAGACGGUUUUGCUGUCACUUAUAGAUGGAUCCGCCCGCAUUAGCUAGUUGGUAAGGUAACGGCUUACCAAGGCAACGAUGCGUAGCCGACCUGAGAGGGUGAUCGGCCACACUGGAACUGAGACACGGUCCAGACUCCUACGGGAGGCAGCAGUAGGGAAUCUUCCGCAAUGGGCGAAAGCCUGACGGAGCAACGCCGCGUGAGUGAUGAAGGUCUUCGGAUCGUAAAACUCUGUUAUUAGGGAAGAACAAAUGUGUAAGUAACUAUGCACGUCUUGACGGUACCUAAUCAGAAAGCCACGGCUAACUACGUG